UAAAGUAGUAGUGUGUAUGUAGAAAUCCCUUUGACAUCAUAUGUGCAGGGAGGAUGUUCUCAUCCUUUCCAUUCGUCGACCCUCCCCCACCCUGAACUGCACCCACUGGCGCAUGCGCCUUUUUGCGAGACAGCAGCAACUGCUGGUGCUCGCGCAAACUUUGAGGACGACGGCAGCAGUAUAAAAGGCUCGGUCCGUUCGCUCCGGUUUAAAAGUCGGAAAUGUGCGGCCGUUGAGGACACAGACAUCACAGGUCGAAUUACAUGGAAAGAAGAACGCAUUUUUUUUUCGAUCGCCAUCUUAUUUCUUCUUUUGAAGAUGAUUUCGAUUUCUUCACGUUAAGACUUGAUGAAAUGGUUGGUUUAUGAUGACAUCAUGCAGUUAGUAUUUGUGGGCGGGCUCUGAGCUGAGAGGGGAGAGGGGCGCAACCGGAGAGCACUAACGGCCAGGCGCCAUUAGGUAACAAUGUCACAUUAAUGUCCGUUUAGGAACAAAGCAUUCAUAUGAAUUACCUUUUAAAACAGCUAUGUCGGUAGCGUGUGUGUCUACACAAAAUAUACGAGAUAGCUGUCAAAUCAUGAGAUGUAGCCUUCUUUUUAUUUGGUGAAGAUGGAUCUCGACCUAAAACAAGAUGGCGUCGAGUUUUUUUCACCCCCCCAAUUAGGGCGGCGGCGCCGUGCGCGUUCUCGAAACAAUGUUAUUUCCUGUUUUCGUGGUGGAUUGUUCUUAA